rnacentral:rRNA from 1 species
GACGAACGCUGGCGGCGUGCUUAACACAUGCAAGUCGAGCGAGCCUUCGGGCUAGCGGCGAACGGGUGAGUAGCACGUGGGCAAUCUGCCCCUAGCUCUGGGAUAACUCCGGGAAACCGUGGCUAAUACCAGAUACGACCUCGAGAGGCAUCUCUCUCGGUGGAAAGAUUUAUCGGCUAGGGAUGAGCCCGCGGCCUAUCAGCUUGUUGGUGGGGUAACGGCCUACCAAGGCGACGACGGGUAGCCGGCCUGAGAGGGCGACCGGCCCCACUGGGACUGAGACACGGCCCAGACUCCUACGGGAGGCAGCAGUGGGGAAUAUUGCACAAUGGGCGAAAGCCUGAUGCAGCUACGCCGCGUGAGGGAUGACGGCCUUCGGGUUGUAAACCUCUUUCAGUCGGGACGAAGCGUGAGUGACGGUACCGAUAGAAGAAGCACCGGCCAACUACGUGCCAGCAGCCGCAGUAACAC